UACGGGGGGGGCAAGCGUUGUUCGGAAUUACUGGGCGUAAAGGGCUCGUAGGUGGCCAACUAAGUCAGACGUGAAAUCCCUCAGCUUAACUGGGGAACUGCGUCUGAUACUGGAUGGCUUGAGAUUGGGAGAGGGAUGCGGAAUUCCAGGUGUAGCGGUGAAAUGCGUAGAUAUCUGGAGGAACACCGGUGGCGAAGGCGGUUCUCUGGGCAUUACCUGACGCUGAGGAGCGAAAGUGUGGGGAGCGAACAGG
rnacentral:rRNA from 1 species